AUAAAUUUUAUUUAUUAAUUUUAUUUAUUUAUUUAAUUUAUUUAAUAAAAAUAAUUUUAUGAUUUUAAGUUUUAGUAUUUUAUAAAGAAAAAAUAAUUUUAAUUAUAGUUAAUUUGUAUUGUAAAAGAAAAUUGAAAUAAUUUGAAAAAUUAUUAUUUUAAAAGAAAAUUUGAUUUAUUGUACCUUGUGUAUCAGGGUUUAUUAAAUAAUAAAUUAUUAUAUUAAUUUUUCUCGAAUUUUAAAGAUUUAAUUAUAUAUAAAAGUUACUGUUGAAUAAUUAUUUUUAAUAUAUAAUUAGAAAUGAAAUGUUAAUCGUUUUAAAAUAUAUCUAGUUUUUUAAGAAAUAAAUUUAAUUUAGAUUUAUAAAUUUAAAUUAUUUAAUUUAGGUAAAUAAUUUAAUUUAUAAAAUUAAUAUUUUAAGGGAUUAGCUUUAAAAUAAAUUUUUAAAUUUUAAAUUAAUUAUUUAAUAAAUAUAAGCUUAAAAAUAGCUAUUAUUAAUAAAUUUGUUAUAAUUUAUUUUAAAAAUUUAAUUAUUUAUUAUAAAAUUAAAUUAUUUAUUAAAAUAUAAAUUUUAAUUAUAUAAAUUUAUUAAUUAUGAUAAAAUUAGUAUAUAAAGUUUUUAUAAAUAAUUAUUUAUGAAAGGUUUAAAUAAGGAAUUCGGCAAAAUAUAUAUUCACCUGUUUAUCAAAAACAUGUCUUUUUGAAUUUAAUUUAAAGUCUAACCUGCCCACUGAUAAUAAUUAAAGGGCCGCAGUAUUUUGACUGUGCGAAGGUAGCAUAAUCAUUAGUCUUUUAAUUGAAGGCUUGUAUGAAUGGUUGAAUGAGAUAUAUACUGUCUUUUUUAAAAUUAUAUAGAAUUUUAUUUUUUAAUUAAAAAGUUAAAAUGUAAUUAAAGGACGAGAAGACCCUAUAGAUCUUUAUUUUUGUUAUUUAUAAAUUAAAAAGAAUUUUAAAAUUUAUAUUUUAAUUAAAAAUUUUAUUGGGGUGAUAUUAAAAUUUAAAAAACUUUUAAAAAUUUUUUAACAUUAAUAUAUGAAUAAAUGAUCCAAUUUUAUUGAUUAAAAAUUUAAGUUACCUUAGGGAUAACAGCGUAAUUUUUUUUUAGAGUUCAUAUCGACAAAAAAGAUUGCGACCUCGAUGUUGGAUUAAGAGUUAUUUUUAGGUGUAGAAGUUUAAAGUUUAGGUCUGUUCGACCUUUGAAUUCUUACAUGAUCUGAGUUCAAACCGGCGUAAGCCAGGUUGGUUUCUAUCCUUAAUAAAUUAUUAUAUUAUAGUACGAAAGGACCUAAUAUAAAAAAUAUAGAUUUUAAUAAUAUGAUUUAUAUUAAUAUUUGAUA
rnacentral:rRNA from 1 species